GUUGGCUUAGAAGCAGCUAUUCAUUCAAAGAGUGCGUAAUAGCUCACUAGUCGAGUGACCCUGCGCCGAAAAUGUACCGGGGCUAAAACAAUUUACCGAAGCUGUGGAUACCUUUAUAGGUAUGGUAGGAGAGCGUCCUAUGUGUGAUGAAGGUAUACCGUGAGGAGUGCUGGAACGCAUAGAAGUGAGAAUGCCGGUAUGAGUAGCGAAAGACAGGUGAGAAUCCUGUCCACCGUAAGACUAAGGUUUCCAGGGGAAGGCUCGUCCGCCCUGGGUUAGUCGGGACCUAAGGAGAGACCGAAAGGUGUAUCCGAUGGACAACAGGUUGAUAUUCCUGUACUAGAGUAUGUAGUGAUGGAGGGACGCAGUAGGCUAACUAAAGCAGACGAUUGGAAAGAGUCUGUCUAAGCAANUGAGGUGUGAAUUGAGUCAAAUGCUUAAUUCUAUAACAUUGAGCUGUGAUGGGGAGCGAAGUCUAGUAGCGAAGUUAGUCACGUCACACUGCCAAGAAAAGCUUCUAGCGUUUAAACAUACUCUACCCGUACCGCAAACCGACACAGGUAGUCGAGGCGAGUAGCCUCAGGUGAGCGAGAGAACUCUCGUUAAGGAACUCGGCAAAAUG
rnacentral:rRNA from 1 species